GAACCAAACCGUGCGAACGUUGUUCGGAAUCACUGGGCUUAAAGGGCGCGUAGGCGGGUUCGCAAGUCUGUGGUGAAAGCCUCCAGCUUAACUGGAGAAGUGCCGUGGAUACUGCGAAUCUUGAGGAGGGUAGGGGCGUCUGGAACGGUCGGUGGAGCGGUGAAUGCGUUGAUAUCGACCGGAACUCCGGUGGCGAAGGCGAGGCGCUGGACCCUUUCUGACGCUGAGGCGCGAAAGCCGGGGAGCAAACGGG
rnacentral:rRNA from 1 species